rnacentral:rRNA from 1 species
GAUGAACGCUGGCGGCGUGCCUAAUACAUGCCAGUCGAGCGAACGGACGCGAAGCUUGCUUUUCUGAUGUUAGCGGCGGACGGGUGAGUAACACGUGGAUAACCUACCUAUAAGACUGGGAUAACUUCGGGAAACCGGAGCUAAUACCGGAUAAUAUUUUGAACCGCAUGGUUCAAAAGUGAAAGACGGUCUUGCUGUCACUUAUAGAUGGAUCCGCGCUGCAUUAGCUAGUUGGUAAGGUAACGGCUUACAAAGGCAACGAUGCAUAGCCGACCUGAGAGGGUGAUCGGCCACACUGGAACUGAGACACGGUCCAGACUCCUACGGGAGGCAGCAGUAGGGAAUCUUCCGCAAUGGGCGAAAGCCUGACGGAGCAACGCCGCGUGAGUGAUGAAGGUCUUCGGAUCGUAAAACUCUGUUAUUAGGGAAGAACAUAUGUGUAAGUAACUGUGCACAUCUUGACGGUACCUAAUCAGAAAGCCACGGCUAACUACGUG